UACGUAGGGUGCAGGCGUUGUCCGGAAUUAUUGGGCGUAAAGAGCUCGUAGGCGGUCUGUCGCGUCGGCUGUGAAAACCCGUGGCUCAACCCCGGGCCUGCAGUCGAUACGGGCAGACUAGAGUGCGGUAGGGGAGACUGGAAUUCCUGGUGUAGCGGUGAAAUGCGCAGAGUAUCAGGAGGAACACCGGUGGCGAAGGCGGGUCUCUGGGCCGAUACUGACGCUGAGGAGCGAAAGCAUGGGGAGCGAACAGG
rnacentral:rRNA from 1 species